UGUUCAGAGGAUUCUUGAUCAUUUCUUGCUGGUGGAUCGUGAUGAUCCUUCAUCAAAUUAUAUAGCAGAAGAGGGACAAUUGAUGGCAGGUUCCCAUUCACUAACCCCAACAACAAUGGUGGCAAAUCUAAUUGAUAAUUAUUUGGCAGAGGUUGCACCUGAUGUUAACUUGAAGUUGACAAAGUUUCGAUCACUUGCUGCUGUUAUUCCUGAUUAUGCCAGGCCAUUAGAUGAUGGAAUAUACCGUGCAAUAGAUAUAUACCUCAAGGCUCAUCCAUGGCUAACAGAUUCAGAAAGGGAACAACUUUGCAGGCUUAUGAACUGCCAGAAGCUCUCAUUGGAAGCAAGCACACAUGCAGCCCAAAAUGAGAGGCUACCACUUCGAGUUAUUGUCCAAGUUUUGUUCUUUGAACAACUACGACUCCGAACCUCCAUUGCUGGUUGGUUCUUUGUUUCUGACAACCUUGAAAGUUCACAAAAUCCAAGUGGAAAUCUUGCCUUCACCAGAAACGAUGUGCACAGUCAAGCUGUUGCUACACAAGACCGUAUUAUAGCAGUUGAUGAAAUGAAGGAGCGAGUUUCAGAGCUUGAGAAAGAGUGCCUGAACAUGAAAGAGGAGAUUGAGAAUAUAGUGAAGACAAAGGGAAGUUGGAACAUCUUUUUCAGAAGGUUUGGUUUUAGCAAAUCAAAAUUAAAACCCAAUGAAGCUAAAGCAUCAAAACCCAAAAAUUCCAGAGGAUCACCAACAUCCUCUGCACCACUCUUGAAUGGAAAGAAAAAUCACAGCGGUGAGUUAGGAGACUGAACAUUAAAAAAAAAAAAAA
rnacentral:misc_RNA from 1 species